CCUACGGGGGGCUGCAGUAGGGAAUCUUCCACAAUGGACGAAAGUCUGAUGGAGCAACGCCGCGUGAGUGAAGAAGGGUUUCGGCUCGUAAAGCUCUGUUGGUAGUGAAGAAAGAUAGAGGUAGUAACUGGCCUUUACUUGACGGUAAUUAAUCAGAAAGUCACGGCUAACUACGUGCCAGCAGCCGCGGUAAUACGUAGGUGGCAAGCGUUGUCCGGAUUUAUUGGGCGUAAAGCGAGUGCAGGCGGUUCAAUAAGUCUGAUGUGAAAGCCUUCGGCUCAACCGGAGAAUUGCAUCCGAAACUGUUGAACUUGAGUGCAGAAGAGGAGAGUGGAACUCCAUGUGUAGCGGUGAAAUGCGUAGAUAUAUGGAAGAACACCAGUGGCGAAGGCGGCUCUCUGGACUGCAACUGACGCUGAGGCUCGAAAGCGUGGGUAGCGAACAGGAUUAGAUACCCUAGUAGUC
rnacentral:rRNA from 1 species